rnacentral:misc_RNA from 1 species
UCUCCGUUGGUGAACCAGCGGAGGGAUCAUUACCGAAGUUACCUUCAAAACCCACUGUGAACCUUACCUCUUGCCGCGUUGUCUCGGCGGGAGGCGGUGUGCGUCGCGCGCCCUAGCGGGCCGCGCCGCUCCCGUCCCCCCCGGCAGCGCCAAACUCUAAAUGCACAGCGGACUGUACGUUCUGAUUUACAAAAAAAACAAGUUAAAACUUUCAACAACGGAUCUCUUGGUUCUG